UACAGAGGGAGCAAGCGUUGUUCGGAAUUACUGGGCGUAAAGGGCGCGUAGGCGGUUCGAUAAGUCCCGUGUGAAAUCCCUCGGCUCAACUGAGGAAUGGCACGGGAAACUGACGGGCUUGAGUUCGGGAGAGGGAAGCGGAAUUCCGGGUGUAGCGGUGAAAUUCGUAGAUAUCGAGAGGAACACCGGUGGCGAAGGCGGCCUUCUGGACAGUUACUGACGCUGAGACGCGAAAGCGUGGGGAGCAAACAGG
rnacentral:rRNA from 1 species